GCUCGUGUCGUGAGAUGUUGGUUAAGUCCCGCAACCGAGCGCAACCCUCGCCUUUAGUUGCCAGCAUUCAGUUGGGCACUCUAGAGGGACUGCCGGUGUCAAACCGGAGGAAGGUGGGGAUGACGUCAAGUCCUCAUGGCCUUUAUGUCUAGGGCUACACACGUACUACAAUGGCCGGUACAAAGGGCAGCCACUCAGCGAUGAGGCGCUAAUCCCAUAAAGCCGGUCUCAGUCCGGAUCGCAGUCUGCAACUCGACUCCAUGAAGUUGGAAUCGCUAGUAAUCGCAGAUCAGCACGCUGCGGUGAAUACGUUCCCGGGCCUU
rnacentral:rRNA from 1 species